rnacentral:rRNA from 1 species
AGCAGCCGCGGUAAUUCCAGCUCCAAUAGCGUAUAUUAAGGUUGUUGCAGUUAAAAAGCUCGUAGUUGAACUUCGGGAUCAAUGGAUCGGUCAUGCCAUCGGUAUGUACUGGUCUCAUUGGUUCUCACCUUCUAAGGAACCUUAAUGUCAUUCAUUUGAUGUUUUGGGGAAUUAGGACUGUUACCUUGAAAAAAUUAGAGUGUUUAAAGCAGGCUAACACUUGAAUACAUUAGCAUGGAAUAAUGAAAUAGGACAUCGCAUUCUAUUUUGUUGGUUUCUAGGAUCGAUGUAAUGAUUAAUAGGGAUAGUUGGGGGCAUUAGUAUUCAAUUGUCAGAGGUGAAAUUCUUGGAUUUAUUGAAGACUAACUACUGCGAAAGCAUUUGCCAAGGAUGUUUUCAUUAAUCAAGAACGAAAGUUAGGGGAUCGAAGACGAUCAGAUACCGUCGUAGUCUUAACCAUAAACUAUGCCGACUAGGGAUCGGAUGAUGUUGAUUUUUAAUGACU